AAGUCUGUGUCAGACUGGCAGGGUCAGGCGAGGCGCGAACGUCAUCCAAGGGGAAAUAGCAAAGCCGUAAUAGAGCUGACAGAAAGAAGAUUCCAGCACAGGUACUGAAGGGGAAGACCCCGGCGAGACGACCAGCCUGUGAACGAGCCACCACCAGCAGAACGACUGGAGAGAAAAAGCAGAUGGCGAUCAGGAGCAGUGAUGUGAUGUUGUGUGUCACCACCACUGCGGAGCGAGUGACCGAGCGUCUCUUUUCAUGACAAAGAUGGAGAUAUUUUCUCUCAAGAGUCUCAGACCCUCCAAAAUCAUCCUGCUGGCUUUGAGUUUCUGUGACUUUAUUGUAUUUAUUGUCCCUGCAGAACAACACAACAUCUGGGGCCCGUUUCAAUAAGGAAGAUCAACCAAGACCGAAUUAAAAUCUGAACUCGGAGUUGAUUUACUCAGAGAAUCACUACUCUGAGUUUUCAGUUUCAGACCAGCUGAUAUGAGUUAGUUCAAACCACUCUGAGUUUGUUCACCCUAAGUUACGCGCGUGCACCAUGGCUAUAAAAAAACCAUCAUCAAUUGAGUAAAGAACGCACGCACACACAAACACACACUUUGGCCUUUUUCUUUGUCUCCGCAGAUUCUGAUGGUUUGGUUGGCCUUGUGGAACCUCUUGUCACAACAGAACCCCAGGCAGUUGAUGAAGGGGAUGAAGAAUCCUUGUCUGCUGACACAGAGAGGCCUACAGAGAGCAUGGCAGCACAGGAGGAGGGUCCAUCAAAUUCUGACACACAAAUUAACGCAAUUCAGUAAUGUUCAGUAAAUGUCAUUGUCUGAAUCUGCAGAACUUUUUAGAACUUGAACAUCUAACCUCAGUCUUGUGUUUUUCAGUUGCAAGUUAAGGAGCUAUAUAGGCUCCAUCUCGUAAAACAAUUACAAAAGACUGAUAAAUAACUUGUGUACUUGGACCAUCAGAUUGUAAAAACAGAUUUGGAAAUUGAGUUGUUUAGGCACAAACUAGAGGUGGGUGUACAAAAUAAUGGAACAGUCUUACAACCUUUUAUUGUAAGGAUGAUUUUAGUCAUCCAGACGAUGUGAUACAAAAAGACAUUCUGCACAAAUAUUAAAGUCACUCUAGUAAGUGCAGAUUCAGUUUAUUUUAUGCUUAUUGAACAUAUGUUAUUGAAAUGUACGAAACUGCUUGUUAUUUCUUUUCUUUUUUUACUAAAGAUUUGACAUAUUACUACUAGAAUAAUAUUUAUAACUCCUGUUUUUGUUGAAUAUCACAUCAUGACUUGCUUUUAUAACAUUCACAUGGCAUGUGUACAUCAUGAACUAUGCUCGCACUAAAUUCACAUGCUGAUAAAACAAAGUCUUGGUUAAAUGUAGAUUUGUAUUUGUAAGAUUAUGAGUCACUUUCUGACUUUUUCACAUGUGGUUGUAUUUCUAAUAGACAGGCAUCAUUCACUCUGGAGUUAUACUGAACUCAUAUCAUGAUGUGAAGUUUAAUCUCCUGGGGAGGGUCUUUGCCACACUAGGGGUCUUUGUCACAUCCGUGUUUCAAGUGUGUUGUCAGAGCUGUCAAAGGAUCUUGUGAUAAAAAUCCUUAACCUGGAUCCUUCACACAGUCAUUUCACAUCUAAACGUUACAGCCCAAAAAACAUGUAAACAGCCAGUAAUUGGCGAGGAGACGCAUUUAAGGCGGGACGGAGGAGGCGACAAGGAGAGAGAAACCAGGCUGGGAAAACGUGUGUCGGGAGCCAGAGAGACGGCGCGUCCAGGAAUACCAAGAAUCUUCAAAGCAGAGAGUUUUGUGAGAGUGAAUGAGCGGGUGUGCAACCCGGAAGUAUUGCAAAUAAAAAGCAUCUACGGUUUCCCAGCUACACUGACCCCAACUCCUUUCUUCCUUAUCUCAGAACUUGUUAUACACAGCAAUGCAUUUUACACAUGCAAGAUCCUUUUUUUUUUUAACUUUUUUAAUUUACACUUGUUUAUAUUCUAUAUAUUUGAUAUAUUAAUUUUGCUUGUCAAAUCUGUUGUGUUCAUGAGUAAUGUGGAAUGUUACUAUUUGUGUAUACUAUUUUUAAAUAGUAAUGCUGUGCUGUUGUCACGUGAUGAGACGUUGUGUAGGGGAAGAGAAGAAAGUUGAGUAAAGAAAGUUACGGAUUCACUA